CCAAUCUGCUGCCGGCAAAUAGUGAUUCAGUAUGGGGACGAGCGAUAGCAUUAGUGAUCACUCCUCCCCAUACUGUGGGGGAGAUCACUGCAUUCAAUAGCAGCAAUCUCCUCCGCUGAUGAGCAAAAGAGAGACGGGAAGGAA